AGCAGCCGCGGUAAUUCCAGCUCCAAUAGCGUAUAUUAAAGUUGUUGCAGUUAAAAAGCUCGUAGUUGAAUUUCGGGACCAAUCUGCCGGUCGUGCCUCCGGUAUGCACUGGUUUUAUUGGUUUCUCCCUUCUGACGAAUCAUGAUGUCAUUAAUUUGGUGUCAUGGGGAAUCAGGACUGUUACUUUGAAAAAAUUAGAGUGUUUAAAGCAGGCUCACGCUUGAAUACAUUAGCAUGGAAUAAUGAAAUAGGACGUUUGACCCUAUUUUGUUGGUUUCUAGGAUCGACGUAAUGAUUAAUAGGGAUAGUUGGGGGCAUUAGUAUUCAAUUGUCAGAGGUGAAAUUCUUGGAUUUAUUGAAGACUAACUACUGCGAAAGCAUUUGCCAAGGAUGUUUUCAUUAAUCAAGAACGAAAGUUAGGGGAUCGAAGACGAUCAGAUACCGUCGUAGUCUUAACCAUAAACUAUGCCGACUAGGGAUCGGAUGAUGUUAUUUUUUUAAUGACUCAUUCGGCACCUUA
rnacentral:rRNA from 1 species